UACGUAGGGGGCUAGCGUUGUCCGGAAUCAUUGGGCGUAAAGAGCGUGUAGGCGGCUCGGUAAGUCCGCUGUGAAAAGUCCAGGGCUCAACCCUGGAAUGCCGGUGGAAACUGUCGGGCUAGAGUCCGGAAGAGGCGAGUGGAAUUCCUGGUGUAGCGGUGAAAUGCGCAGAUAUCAGGAGGAACACCAAUGGCGAAGGCAGCUCGCUGGGACGGUACUGACGCUGGAGACGCGAAAGCGUGGGGAGCAAACAGG
rnacentral:rRNA from 1 species